rnacentral:rRNA from 1 species
UACGGAGGGUGCAAGCGUUACCCGGAUUCACUGGGUUUAAAGGGUGCGUAGGUGGUCGGGUAAGUCUGAUGUGAAAUCUCCAAGCUCAACUUGGAAAUGGCAUUGGAUACUAUUCGGCUAGAGGGUUUGAGGGGGGACUGGAAUACUUGGUGUAGCAGUGAAAUGCGUAGAUAUCAAGUGGAACACCAGUGGCGAAGGCGAGUCCCUGGAAAACUCCUGACACUGAGGCACGAAAGCUAGGGGAGCAAACAGG